GACGGAGGAUGCAAGCGUUAUCCGGAAUUAUUGGGCGUAAAGCGUCCGUAGGUGGCCUAUCAAGUCUGCUGUUAAAUCCCAGGGGUCAACUCUGGAUCAGCAGUGGCAACUGAUAAGCUAGAGUGCGGUAGGGGCAGAGGGAAUUCCCGGUGUAGCGGUGAAAUGCGUAGAUAUCGGGAAGAACACCAGUGACGAAGGCGCUCUGCUGGGCCGUAACUGACACUCAUGGACGAAAGUUAGGGGAGCGAAAGGG
rnacentral:rRNA from 1 species